CCGUCAAGCCAAUUUAAUCUAAUUCAUUUUGUACAAAAUUUUACAUUUGUAUUACAUUCAAAGUAUUCUAAGUACUAUAUAUAGGUUAGAUCAUUGGAUAUUAUAAAGUUUACAUGUUUACAUGUAAACUUUAUAAAAUCUAAUGACCUAUAGCUCUAAGCACACAGAUUAUUGAUUGAUUAUAUCAAAUGAAAGUUAAAAGGAUGGUUACCAUGGAUACCUUUGUAAUAGUUAUACAUUCAAGGUUUCGUUUACAGUUGACAGAAAGGCCAGAUAAGUUGCAAUGACAGUAUUCAUUUUACAUACAAAUGUACAUGAGAAACAUACAUGGACAUGAUUGUGUGACACAUGUCUGUUUGCUUGUACAGUAAAACACGUUUAUAGCGAACACACUUACAAUGAAUUGACGCUUAUAGCGAAGUGAUUUUCAUUCCCCGAGACUAUAUUACAUGUAGUAAACUUGACGGAGAUAACAAAUUACGCUUAUAACGAAGUAAAACCGCCCGUCCCCAGCACUUUGUUAUAAGCGUGUUAUACUGUACUCGAUUGUUAAUUACCUAAUGGCAAUUUGCAAUAUUGUGCAUAUAUGUUCAUUCUUAUACAAUGUACCUUUAAUGGUAAAUUUACCAAAGCAUUAUUUAAAAUGUAUCUAAAUAACUGAUUAUAACUCACCUAGAAGUAAUUAACAUUUUUUAAAAUUUAAAUUUGGCUCUCAUAUCAACUGUAUACAACAUUGAACUUCUUGUUAAAUAGAUUAAUUAUCUUGAAUUGUAGCAAGACAUUACAAAUAUUAUCACUGCUAAAGCAUCUAAUGAAUUGUGUUUGGAUUGAUUAUUACUUAUUUGUGCAAGUACUUAAAGAUUGAAUAUGCCAUGCCAUUUCAUGUUGAAGGUAUACAUGUAUCAAAUACAUGUUAAUUAAACUUGCAGGUGAUAAGAAUGAUGACAGCUUGGAGCCUUUCAUUAUAUGUAUUACAGUUGAAGAAUGAUAGUAUAAUAAAGCAUUCACUUAAUGUUUGUAUCACUGAAUUAAUAAAAAACCUUUU
rnacentral:sRNA from 1 species